ensembl:lncRNA
UCUGAGGAUUCCUUAGGCAGUCUGGAUGAGAGAGAGAAAAGGCUGCUGACCAGUGAGAUGAACUACUGGACUAAGGAGAGGAGGAGGAAUGGCAGUGCAGGGUGCCGCCAUAAAUCCACUCGCAGAACCUCAUCACCAUGCUGUUCGCCUAAGAGCGUUCCAAGAGAGGAAACAAAAAGGUCUGCCAUUCAGUCCAGGAACAGACUGAGAUUCCCUCUACUGAUGGACAUUGCAUAGCUCCAGUUGGAGAGGUUUCUCCCUCCAUAUCUCAGCCUGUCAAAAAACGAUCCUUGAUUGUCAGGGUCUUUUCAGCAAUGAUGAAUCCAUUCAGGCGCUUCACCAAGAAGAACCUGUAACCUGUUAUCCUGCAUGAAGAACUACUUUUGUAACAGCAAGACUUUUGACAAGAGGAAUUUCUGCAUGUCUACCCUUUCA